AUGGAGAAGUAUUUGAUAAAGAAAUCAGCAAAUGCCAACACCACCACCCAGCCCCAGGGGGCUAUCACCAGCAACAAUUCAAGUGGCAGUAGUAAUGCAUCAAGACCUGCAGGAAAACAUAAUUCUGCUGUGCCUGAACUAGUUGAUUUGAAUAAGCUCCCUCGGGAUCCAGCUAAAAGGAAGCGAAUGGCAGAUUAUCACCCCAACCAACGUGACGAGAUAAGAAGGAAGUAUUUGAUUUGGGGACCUAAUCAGCCCCGCAAAUUGGAAUUUCCAUACAGGGAGAUUGGGAAGAAGAAAAAGAAGAGGAGAUUCAAUCCGGAUUGGGACAACAUUAAAGACAACCACCAUGGGCACGAUGCAUUUGUAGUAGAAGGUUUCAACUGUUGGAACAAGACAGAGAGAUUUGUAACUCACGUCGGUGAUCGUAACAGCUUUCACAACAGAGCACUCUAG
rnacentral:rRNA from 1 species